GACGAACGCUGGCGGCGUGCUUAACACAUGCAAGUCGAACGGAAAGGCCCUGCUUUUGUGGGUUGCUCGAGUGGCGAACGGGUGAGUAACACGUGAGUAACCUGCCCUUGACUUUGGGAUAACUUCAGGAAACUGGGGCUAAUACCGGAUAGGAGCUCCUGCUUCAUGUUGUGGGUUGGAAAGUUUCGGCGGUUGGGGAUGGACUCGCGGCUUAUCAGCUUGUUGGUGGGGUAGUGGCUUACCAAGGCUUUGACGGGUAGCCGGCCUGAGAGGGUGAACGGCCACAUGGGGACUGAGAGACGGCCCAGACUCCUACGGGAGGCAGCAGUGGGGAAUAUUGCACAAUGGGCGGAAGCCUGAUGCAGCAACGCCGCGUGCGGGAUGAAGGCCUUCGGGUUGUAAACCGAUUUCGCCUGUGACGAAGCGUGAGUGACGGUAAUGGGUAAAGAAGCACCGGCUAACUACGUG
rnacentral:rRNA from 1 species